AUGCUAUUUAAAUACAAGAGAGUGAUUUUUUUUCCUGUUGUUAUUCUUCUUUCAACACCCUACAGGUCUCCAGCCUAUGCACAGUGUUCAUCAAUUAGGGCCUGCAAGUUGCACAUAAUACCAACAACUCAUGGAUACACAUGGAACACAAGCAUAGAAGGAGUAGAUGACCAGAAAUGCUCCUAUUACUGCAAGGUGCAUCCAGAAUCAUUUUCCAAACAGACUGGAGGAGGGAGUCAUGGAACGCUAGAGCUGGCUCUGGGCGGGCGAAUCCCAUCCUUGCUACUUAGCUGAAAAACCUGUCAGAGGCAAAGCAAAUAUCACAGCAACAGCGUCAGUUCCCAAGCUAAUAGUGUUGUGUACGUGAGAGGGAAGCCAGGGGAGCCUGGAGAGAGGUAUCUGACAGAUGGAUCUGCUUCCAAGGGGCAGAGAGGGUGCCUGGACCCCAGCACGGGGGCCAGGGGAAUUAUGGAGGUAAUUAGACAGUGCUCAGUUCCGUCUCAGGUGGGCACGGUGGGGGGAGCUCUGACAGUGGGUUUCUGCAUUAGAAACCAGAGGAUACAACUUUAAGUGGGCAGUGAAGACAGCAGUGCUACUGGAGACAUCAGUUUUGUGUGUCUCUGAGACCGACUAACAUCCAUUCCAAGCGAGCUUUCCCCGCUCACGGGGUGAGGUGUGUGUGACAGAAGCGUGACACACCCUAGUUUCCAUCAGCUUUUCCACAUCUUCCUGAGAAGUCUGACCCUACUUGGCAGGAGCUCCUUGCCGGCUGUGGUGGUGGAAAUAAGGAGGAUUCCCCAUUCGUGAGCGGCUUUUCAUCUUGGUGGCACCAUUUGAAUCAUGACAUUAUCAGCCAGGUUGGAAAUGGUUUGCAAGGAGUCCUUGACUUGAGCAGGUGAUCCACAGAAGCUGCUGUAGGUAAACAGAGGACAGC
rnacentral:lncRNA from 12 species